rnacentral:rRNA from 1 species
CCUACGGGAGGCUGCAGUCGAGAAUCAUUCACAAUGGGGGAAACCCUGAUGGUGCGACGCCGCGUGGGGGAAUGAAGGUCUUCGGAUUGUAAACCCCUGUCAUGUGGGAGCAAAUUAAAAAGAUAGUACCACAAGAGGAAGAGACGGCUAACUCCGUGCCAGCAGCCGCGGUAAUACAGAGGUCUCAAGCGUUGAUCGGAAUCACUGGGCGUAAAGUGUGCGGAGGCUGUAUCGUAAGUCGUGUGUGAAAGGCGCGGGCUCAACCCGCGGACGGCACAUGAUACUGGGAGACUAGAGUAAGGGAGGGGGAACCGGAAUUCGCGGUGUAGCAGUGAAAUGCGUAGAUAUCGAGAAGAACACUCGUGGCGAAGGCAGGUUCCUGGACAUUAACUGACGCUGAGGCACGAAGGCCAGGGGAGCGAAAGGGAUUAGAUACCCGGGUAGUC